GCCGAAGUGGUGGAACUGGCAGACACGCAGCGUUCAGGACGCUGUGCGCUCACGCGCGUGUGGGUUCAAAUCCCACCUUCGGCA
rnacentral:tRNA from 1 species